rnacentral:rRNA from 1 species
UACGUAGGUGGCGAGCGUUAUCCGGAUUUACUGGGUGUAAAGGGCGUGUAGGCGGGUCUGCAAGUCGGAUGUGAAAUUCCCAGGCUUAACUUGGGCGGGUCAUCCGAAACUGCGGAUCUUGAGUACUGGAGAGGAUAGUGGAAUUCCUAGUGUAGCGGUAAAAUGCGUAGAUAUUAGGAGGAACACCAGUGGCGAAGGCGGCUAUCUGGACAGUAACUGACGCUGAGGCGCGAAAGCGGGGGGAG